CCUUCCAUGCCUCUCAUAGAAGCACAAACAGGAAGGU
rnacentral:ncRNA from 12 species